UCGGGAAUUUUGGGCAAUGGGCGAAAGCCUGACCCAGCAACGCCGCGUGAAGGAUGAAGUAUUUCGGUAUGUAAACUUCGAAAGAAUAGGAAGAAUAAAUGACGGUACUAUUUAUAAGGUCCGGCUAACUACGUGCCAGCAGCCGCGGUAAUACAGGGGGUGCGAGCGUUAAUCGGAAUUACUGGGCGUAAAGCGUGCGCAGGCGGUUGUGUAAGUCAGAUGUGAAAUCCCCGGGCUCAACCUGGGAAUUGCAUUUGAGACUGCACGGCUAGAGUGUGUCAGAGGGGGGUAGAAUUCCACGUGUAGCAGUGAAAUGCGUAGAUAUGUGGAGGAAUACCGAUGGCGAAGGCAGCCCCCUGGGAUAACACUGACGCUCAUGCACGAAAGCGUGGGGAGCAAACAGGAUUAGAUACCCAAGUAGUCCCUGAGCGGGCUGGCAAGGCGCAU
rnacentral:rRNA from 1 species